rnacentral:rRNA from 1 species
UACAGAGGUCUCAAGCGUUGUUCGGAUUCAUUGGGCGUAAAGGGUGCGUAGGCGGCGCGGUAAGUCGGGUGUGAAAUCUCGGAGCUUAACUCCGAAACUGCAUUCGAUACUGCCGUGCUUGAGGACUGGAGAGGAGACUGGAAUUUACGGUGUAGCGGUGAAAUGCGUAGAUAUCGUAAGGAAGACCAGUGGCGAAAGCGGCGCGCUGGACACCUACUGACGCUGAGGCGCGAAAGCCAGGGGAGCAAACGGG